rnacentral:rRNA from 1 species
AUACGGAGGAUCCGAGCGUUAUCCGGAUUUAUUGGGUUUAAAGGGAGCGUAGGCGGACGCUUAAGUCAGUUGUGAAAGUUUGCGGCUCAACCGUAAAAUUGCAGUUGAUACUGGGUGUCUUGAGUACAGUAGAGGCAGGCGGAAUUCGUGGUGUAGCGGUGAAAUGCUUAGUUAUCACGAAGAAAUCCGAUUGCGAAGGCAUCCUGCUUGACUGUAACUGACGCUGAUGCUCGAAAGUGUGGGUAUCAAACAGGAUUAGAUACCCUGGUAGUCCACACAGUAAACGAUGAAUACUCGCUGUUUGCGAUAUACAGUAAGCGGCCAAGCGAAAGCGUUAAGUAUUCCACCUGGGGAGUACGCCGGCAACGGUGAAACUCAAAUGAAUUGGCGGGG